GUGUUUAAUCUAUGCCCAUUAUAUUAGUGAUUCUUAACUGUGCACUAUGCAAAACCAGGAUGAUUGUGUGGUUGACCAUAAUGUAACUUUUUAAGGACAUUUAGACCUGCACAGUAUCAUUUUCUGAGACUGUUGUAGUUUAGGUUUUAUCUUUAACCUCAAACCUUGAUAGACUCUGGGUUAUAAAGAAUAUAAUGAAUACAUUUUAAUGUAAUUUUAAUGUAAGUCUUAGCCUGCUUUUUUGUUAGAUUUUUUGUUGUUGUAAGACACAUGGUGCUAAAGUUCAGUCAGAACUGUUCAACUCCACAAAAAACACGAGAGAUUGGUAUUGCUGAGAAUAAUGAUUAAGCGUACAGUUUGUAAAGUAAUCCAUUCCAGUCCAUGUUUCUUUUUUUUGGUGUUGUGAUAUUAGCUAGAUGUUUGGAUGGAUGUGUAACAAUAGAAGGGAUUUAAAGUGAUGCAAAACAUAUUCUGUAACUUCAAAUGGUUGACUUGAGAAAAUAUGCCUUUUUUUGUUAGUCCUAAUGAAGUUGCUUAUUAUCUACUGUACGCACAAGAUCCAAAAGCAACAUAUACCAUAUUUAGGAUAAUUGUUAGGCUGUAAUCAAUGAAAUGUGGAGCCUAACUAUUUUUCACUAUUUGAAAUCAUUAUACAGUCUAAUCUUUCAUUUAGCAUUAAACAGUGUGUUAGUGUUGUGUAUGCAAAACCUGGUGAUAGACCCCAAAAACUUGGACUCAAAUAUAUAUAUAAUGUAGUUGUGCUGUUCUUGUUACAAAAAACGUAAUUAUUUACCGAGAGAUUGUGCCUUUUCAAAGAUAAAAUAAAUAAAUAAAAUCAGAAAAAAGGUUACUGACAAUUUCUUGUGAUAAUGAAGACUAAUUUAAUUAUUGUUUUCCUUACCCUCCAUCCACUGUCAGUAAUUUUUUCCUGCAGUCCUUACCCUCAUCCACUGUCAGUAAUUUUUUCCUGCGGUCCUUACCCUCAUCCACUGCAGAACAUGCUGAAUUCUAGUCAGUUAUUAUGAUCAUGUUGUACUAGUAUGUAGGUU
rnacentral:lncRNA from 13 species